CGUGACCAAUUCAUUAUUGGUAUAUGUCCGUUUGAGUGAAAAGAACGCAUCAAUUUAAUGGACUGCCCAGACAACAGUUCACUUUUCGUUGUGUGAAAAUUCAUGUUGAAAUCACGAUACAUACACGAGUGGAUGCAUUCAAACGCGGCAUAGCGUAUUAAUUAAAAAUUGUUUUUGCACGCUCAAUUAGAAGAAAUAAAGAACUUCGAGUCACGAGUUUACAAUUUUAAACGAAGAGACCGAAACGAGAGAGAAUAUAAAAAAUCAACAAAAUAUCAUAAAAUAGAGAGUUAAAAGAUCAUAAAUAUAUAAAAUGGUUUAACCAA